rnacentral:rRNA from 1 species
UGCAUGAAGUUGGAAUCGCUAGUAAUCGCGGAUCAGCAUGCCGCGGUGAAUACGUUCCCGGGCCUUGUACACACCGCCCGUCACACCAUGAGAGUCGGGGACACCCGAAGUCCGUAGUCUAACCGCAAGGGGACGCGGCCGAAGGUGGAUUCGAUAAUUGGGGUGAAGUCGUAACAAGGUAUC